rnacentral:rRNA from 1 species
AGUGAACGCUGGCGGUAGGCCUAACACAUGCAAGUCGAACGGCAGCACAGUAAGAGCUUGCUCUUACGGGUGGCGAGUGGCGGACGGGUGAGGAAUACAUCGGAAUCUACUUUUUCGUGGGGGAUAACGUAGGGAAACUUACGCUAAUACCGCAUACGACCUACGGGUGAAAGCAGGGGAUCUUCGGACCUUGCGCGAUUGAAUGAGCCGAUGUCGGAUUAGCUAGUUGGCGGGGUAAAGGCCCACCAAGGCGACGAUCCGUAGCUGGUCUGAGAGGAUGAUCAGCCACACUGGAACUGAGACACGGUCCAGACUCCUACGGGAGGCAGCAGUGGGGAAUAUUGGACAAUGGGCGCAAGCCUGAUCCAGCCAUACCGCGUGGGUGAAGAAGGCCUUCGGGUUGUAAAGCCCUUUUGUUGGGAAAGAAAAGCAGCAGGUUAAUACCCCGCUGUUCUGACGGUAGCCAAAGAAUAAGCACCGGCCAACUUCGUG